GAGGGUUUAGCUCAGUGGCAGAGCACUUGCCUAGCAUACACAAGGUCCUGAGUUCAAUCCCCAGGACCUCCA
rnacentral:tRNA from 1 species